rnacentral:rRNA from 1 species
GAUGAACGCUGGCGGCGUGCCUAAUACAUGCAAGUCGAGCGAACAGAUGAGAAGCUUGCUUCUCUGAUGUUAGCGGCGGACGGGUGAGUAACACGUGGGUAACCUACCUAUAAGCCUGGGAUAACUCCGGGAAACCGGGGAUAAUACCGGCUAAUAUUUUGAACCGCAUGGUUCAAUAGUGAAAGACGGUUUCGGCUGUCACUUAUAGAUGGACCCGCGCCGUAUUAGCUAGUUGGUAAGGUAACGUCUUACCAAGGCGACGAUACGUAGCCGACCUGGGAGGGUGAUCGGCCACACUGGAACUGAGACACGGUCCAGACUCCUACGGGAGGCAGCAGUAGGGAAUCUUCCGCAAUAGGCGAAAGCCUGACGGAGCAACGCCGCGUGAGUGAUGAAGGUCUUCGGAUCGUAAAACUCUGUUGUUAGGGAAGAACAAAUUUGUUAGUAACUGAACAAGUCUUGACGGUACCUAACCAGAAAGCCACGGCUAACUACGUGCCAGCAGCCGCAGUAA